UACAGAGGGUGCAAGCGUUAAUCGGAUUUACUGGGCGUAAAGCGUGUGUAGGUGGCUUCCUAAGUCGGUUGUGUAAUCCCUGGGCUCAACCUGGGAAUUGCAGUCGAUACUGGGAAGCUCGAGUUCGGUAGAGGGCGGCGGGAUUCCCGGUGUAGCGGUGAAAUGCGUAGAUAUCGGGAGGAACAUCGAUGGCGAAAGCAACCGCCUGGGCCUGAACUGACACUGAGACACGAAAGCGUGGGGAGCAAACAGG
rnacentral:rRNA from 1 species